CUGUUUGACUUAUUUUGAUCUGCCGACC
rnacentral:piRNA from 1 species